rnacentral:tRNA from 1 species
GGCUUGUAGCUCAGUGGUAGAGUACUCCCUUUGUAUGUGGAAGGCACUGGGUUCAAUCCUCAGCACCA